rnacentral:rRNA from 1 species
UACGUAGGGAGCGAGCGUUAUCCGGAAUUAUUGGGCGUAAAGGGUGCGUAGAUGGUUGAUAUAAGUCUUUUGUAAAAAUGCUAGGCUCAACCUAGUAGGGCAAAAGAUACUGAUGAACUAGAGUACGGCAGAGGCAAGUGGAACUACAUGUGUAGCGGUGAAAUGCGUAGAUAUAUGGAGGAACACCAGUGGCGAAGGCGGCGAUCUGGGGUGCAACUGACGCUCAGUCCCGAAAGCGUGGGGAGCAAAUAGG